UGAGGAAUAUUGGUCAAUGGGUGCAAGCCUGAACCAGCCAUCCCGCGUGAAGGACGACUGCCCUAUGGGUUGUAAACUUCUUUUGUAUAGGGAUAAACCUACCCUCGUGAGGGUAGCUGAAGGUACUAUACGAAUAAGCACCGGCUAACUCCGUGCCAGCAGCCGCGGUAAUACGGAGGGUGCAAGCGUUAUCCGGAUUUAUUGGGUUUAAAGGGUCCGUAGGCGGACUUAUAAGUCAGUGGUGAAAGCCUGUCGCUUAACGAUAGAACUGCCAUGAUACUGUAAGUCUUGAGUAUAUUUGAGGUAGCUGGAAUAAGUAGUGUAGCGGUGAAAUGCAUAGAUAUUACUUAGAACACCAAUUGCGAAGGCAGGUUACCAAGAUAUAACUGACGCUGAGGGACGAAAGCGUGGGGAGCGAACA
rnacentral:rRNA from 1 species